AACGAACGCUGGUGGCGUGUUUUAUACAUGCAAGUCGAGCGAGGACAGUAGCUUGUUACUGAGCCGAGCGGCGAACGGGUGAGUAACGCGUAAGCAAUCUGCCCCACAAUCGGGAACAACCGUACUAACGUGCGGCUAAUGCCGGAUAUUGUGGCUGUCUACCUGGACAGCUGACGAAAGAUUUAUCGUUGUGGGAUGAGCUUGCGUCCGAUUAGCUAGUUGGUAGGGUAAUGGCCUACCAAGGCAAUGAUCGGUAGCCGGCCUGAGAGGGUGAUCGGCCACAUUGGGAUUGAGAUACGGCCCAGACUCCUACGGGAGGCAGCAGUAGGGAAUAUUGCGCAAUGGGGGAAACCCUGACGCAGCAACGCCACGUGUGGGAAGAAGCAUUUCGGCGUGUAAACCACUGUCGGAAAGGAAUAACAAAAGACUUCGGUCUUUAUGAAUGUACUUUUAAAGGAAGCACCGGCAAA
rnacentral:rRNA from 1 species